AGUGAACGCUGGCGGUAGGCCUAACACAUGCAAGUCGAACGGCAGCACAGUAAGAGCUUGCUCUUACGGGUGGCGAGUGGCGGACGGGUGAGGAAUACAUCGGAAUCUACUUUUUCGUGGGGGAUAACGUAGGGAAACAUACGCUAAUACCGCAUACGACCUACGGGUGAAAGCAGGGGAUCUUCGGACCUUGCGCGAUUGAAUGAGCCGAUGUCGGAUUAGCUAGUUGGCGGGGUAAAGGCCCACCAAGGCGACGAUCCGUAGCUGGUCUGAGAGGAUGAUCAGCCACACUGGAACUGAGACACGGUCCAGACUCCUACGGGAGGCAGAAGUGGGGAAUAUUGGACAAUGGGCGCAAGCCUGAUCCAGCCAUACCGCGUGGGUGAAGAAGGCCUUCGGGUUGUAAAGCCCUUUUGUUGGGAAAGAAAAGCAGCAGGUUAAUACCCCGCUGUUCUGACGGUACCCAAAGAAUAAGCACCGGCUAACUUCGUG
rnacentral:rRNA from 1 species